rnacentral:rRNA from 1 species
UACGGGGGGGGCAAGCGUUGUUCGGAAUUACUGGGCGUAAAGGGCUCGUAGGUGGCCAACUAAGUCGGACGUGAAAUCCCUCGGCUUAACCGGGGAACUGCGUCCGAUACUGGUUGGCUUGAGUUUGGGAGAGGGAUGCGGAAUUCCAGGUGUAGCGGUGAAAUGCGUAGAUAUCUGGAGGAACACCGGUGGCGAAGGCGGCAUCCUGGACCGAGAUUGACGCUGAGGCUCGAAAGCGUGGGGAGCGAACAGG